CCUACGGGGGGCUGCAGUGGGGAAUAUUGGACAAUGGGGGCAACCCUGAUCCAGCCAUGCCGCGUGUGUGAAGAAGGCCCUCGGGUUGUAAAGCACUUUCAGUGAGGAAGAACGCCUGGUGGUUAAUACCCAUCAGGAAAGACAUCACUCACAGAAGAAGCACCGGCUAACUCCGUGCCAGCAGCCGCGGUAAUACGGAGGGUGCGAGCGUUAAUCGGAAUUACUGGGCGUAAAGCGCGCGUAGGUGGCUUGAUAAGCCGGUUGUGAAAGCCCCGGGCUCAACCUGGGAACGGCAUCCGGAACUGUCAAGCUAGAGUGCAGGAGAGGAAGGUAGAAUUCCCGGUGUAGCGGUGAAAUGCGUAGAGAUCGGGAGGAAUACCAGUGGCGAAGGCGGCCUUCUGGACUGACACUGACACUGAGGUGCGAAAGCGUGGGUAGCAAACAGGAUUAGAUACCUGAGUAGUC
rnacentral:rRNA from 1 species